rnacentral:rRNA from 1 species
UGGAGCUUGUCGGUUUAAUUGGAUUCAACGCCGGAAAUCUUACCGGACCGACAGCAAUAUGAAGGCCAGGCUGAAGACUUUGCCGGAUUAGCUGAGAGGUGGUGCAUGGCCGUCGUCAGUUCGUACUGUGAAGCAUCCUGUUAAGUCAGGCAACGAGCGAGACCCACGCCCACAGUUGCCAGCGUACUCUCUGGAGUGACGGGUACACUGUGGGGACCGCCGCUGCUAAAGCGGAGGAAGGAAUGGGCAACGGUAGGUCAGUAUGCCCCGAAUAUCCCGGGCUACACGCGAGCUACAAUGGUUGGUACAAUGGGUAUCUACCCCGAAAGGGGACGGGAAUCUCCUAAAACCAAUCUUAGUUCGGAUUGAGGGCUGCAACUCGCCCUCAUGAAGCUGGAAUCCGUAGUAAUCGCGUUUCAACAGAACGCGGUGAAUACGUCCCUGCUCCUU